CUCUUUCUCCUGCUCUGCCUUGUGAAGAAGGUACUUGCUUCCCUUUCACCCUUCUGCCAUGAUUGUAAGUUUCCUGAAGCCUCCACAACCAUGCUUCCUAUACAACCUACAGAAAUGAUCUUACUGUUACCCAGGAUGAAGUACUGUGGCAUGAUCACAGCUCCCUGAAGCCUCAACCUCUCCAAGCUCAGGUGAUUUCUUCCACCUCAGCCUCCAAAGUAGCUGGGACUACAGGCAUGCGCCACUACACCCAGCUAAUUUUUUUGUGUGUUUUGGAGAGAUAGGGUUUCAUCAUGUUGCCCAGGCUGGUCUGAAACUCCUGGACUCAAGCAAUCUACCCACCUGGGCCUCCCAAAGUGCUAGGAUUACAGGCAUGAGCCACUACGCCCAGCAAGGUAUUUUCUGAAAAGGUGGAUUGCUGCUUCAAAGGACCUGGACCCAGAGGCCCUGUCCAUGAAUGUUUCUUGCUUGGUUCCGAGGCCACCAAACAUACUGGCUGAGCCUUCUGUAUUCACCCUGGCCUAUCAAUGCCAUCUAUGAGAGCAGCCACACUGAGAGAGCAGCAGCAUGGAGCCUACUCAAGGGUUUGUUUCAAAAAUAUAUGGAAAACAAGAAAAACCAAAAGAGGAAACCAUUUCUAAUGAGGAGACUAGUUCAAUUAUUCUGAAGUCAAGCCCUGCUAAUCAAGGAGUUGGACCGACUGUGACAUUUGGGGAAGCCCCACAGAACAGGAUGGGAUCUUUUAUGAAGAAAUGGAUUGGGAAGAAAAACAUAAGAUAAGGUUGGAACCUCUUCUGGUGCAAGAAGGUCCUAAAUAUUACUGAGGAUCUCUCAUCUUCUAGGUGAAGCUCACAAAAUUGCCCUGGAGGUUGCUGCCUUCCUGGAAGCCAGAGUGAAAAAAAAAAAGAGGACAUGCAGUUGCACAUGGGAGGAUUUUGUGGGCCAUGGUUAUCAGGGCACAAUCCCUUAGCUCACCUUUCUCUGGUGAGAAAACACUUCCAGUGCCACACCUCAGUCUCCUCCCUCUGGUGAAAAAAACACUUCCAGUGCCACACCUCAGCCUCCUUCCUCUGGUGAAAAAACAGUUCCAGUGCCAUACCUCAGCCUUUCCUCUGGUAAAAAACACUUCCAGUGCCACACCUCAGCCUCCCUCCUCUGGUGAAAAAACACUUCCAGUGCUACACCUCAGCCUCCUUCCUCUGGUGAAAAAAUACUUCCAGAGCCACACCUUACCCUCCUUCCUCUGGUGAGAAACUACUUCCAGUGCCACACCUCAGCCUCCUUCCUCUGGUGACAAAACACUUCCAGUGCCACAACUCAGCCUCCUUCGACUGCAGAGAGGGUACAGAAGCUGAUUUUGUGAUUGAUUGGAAUGGGACAGCAGUGAGGAGCCACCAUUUUGCUCACAGAUGAAAGAUCACCCAUUGUAAGAGGCUGCCUGAAGAGAAAACAAGCAAGAAAGACUGGCCAAAUUUGCAGUGCGGAGGUCCAGGAAAGAGCCUGGAUAGUGAGCAGGUUGUUUGCUGCCGACCCUAAAGAUGCAGGAAUCCAGCCAUGACCAUGCAGUUUUGGCCACACAAAUACCUUUGUUCAGAGAGGUUUUCAGCUGAGGUGACAUUUCUGCAAACAAAGUAGACUUGGCUUCCCUGGAAAGUGAUGGAACCAUUGAAAAGCCAGAAAAAUAAAGAGUUUUAAUGGAGUAAAAAUUACAAAUGCCACAUGGCAUAUGGGAUACAUUGUGAAGAAGUAAUCAUGAGACUAGAAGCCAUAGAUUUAAUAAGACUCGAUUCUCACCACAUGUACAAACAGAAUUAGGAAUAAAUCGCAUACAAUGAUCCCGGUAGAAGACACAAAACUUCCACGUCAGAGACAAAGGAUUUCAUUACUCAUGGCAAAAGCAGGAAUCAGAGCUUCACAUUUGCUGGUGUCAAUUUCUCAUACCCUCAAAUCCCAGAAGCAUGACACAAAAGAGUCCAUGAUGGAUGUCUGAAUACACAGUGGGCUGUGUUAGAAGAGAGUAACACUGAGCUCAGGUGAUCUCUGCUUCUGUAGUAAGCUUGCACUUUGUCUCGGGGGAGACAUUCCCUCAUCACUCAAGACUGUUCCCUGCAAACACAACCUUGAAUAAUGGCCCAGAAGAGUGGUGAGAGUUCUAAAUUCCUGGCACUUCCAGCAAGUAUGCUCAGGAACACCAGGGCCCAAAGUGGAUUGCCUCUUCCUAAAAAUAUGUUUAUGACUGAAGCCCUUUCCUUUAAAAUGUUAGGUGAAUAUGGAUCUUUUAUUUGCUGUCCUAUUUCAUUUUCAAUAAUUCUGAGUAUGACUCACCAAAAUGAUUUCACAAAAUAAUCUGUAGUAACCUUCAAUUUAAACAACAAACAAAUAAAAAAAAUUGCUAUGUUAAGUAUAUAUUUGAGAGUGUAAUUGCAGAAUUACAUUCUUCCUUAACAUACAAUGUGAAUGGUUUUAUAAAGUGAUUUGUCAGUUAUUUAUCAUUUGCUUUUCACAAGCGGUGUAUGAAUAUUCCCCUUGCCAUAUGUCUCCACCACCACUUGGUUUUGUCAGACAUUUAUUGUUUGAUAAUCAAAUACUGCAUAAUUAUAUCUGAUUUGGUUGUAAUUUGCAUUUUACUUAUUAUUAAUGAGGUUUAGCAUUGCCAUAUGUGUAUAAGUCAUUUGUUUUUCAUUGUCUGUUAAAUGUCUGCAUAUGACUUUGGCCCGUUUUAAAAUUGAGAUAUUUCUUUCUUUUAGAUUGAUACAUGAAUUAUUUACAUUUGUGAGUUAUGAAUAUUGUCAAUAACGUCUCACUGUAGAUCAAUUUUUCACUGAAUUUCUGGUAUCAUUUUAUAAAUUAAAUUUAUUUUAAUGUUUCAAGUAUUCUAUUUUAAACUGAUAUUUUAUGGUAUUUGUCAUGUAUAAGAACUCAUUCUAGAUCAUUAGUCAUAAAGAUAUUCAUCUAAAUUUUCUUCAAAACUGUUAAAUGUCUUUAACAUUUAAGUCCUAAAUACAUCUGAACUGGUCCAAUAAUCCAAAUGAAUCAAAUAUCUAAGAAAAACUGUAACAAAGGAAGAGACAAAUCUAUAGAGAGUACAUUAUAAAACAUUCUUGAGGGAGAAUCAAUAUGAACCUAAAUUAAUAGAAAACUAUUUAUGGAGGGAAAGACAGUAUGUAAAGAAGCAAAUUAUCUUCAAUUCAUCUGUAAAUUUACUGCAAUCUCAAUAAAAAGUCAAGUAGAAGCUUUUUUGUUGAAAUUGAUAAGCCAAUAAUAAAUUGUAAAUAUUCAAAGAUCUAAUGAUAGCUAAUGCAAUAUUGAAGAUAAACUGAAAUUUUGGAGAAUCAAGACUUAUUUGAGGAUUGCAGUAAUGAAGACAGUGAUUAAUUGUGCAAGAAUAGACAAACCAUCCAAGAAAACAAAAUAGAGAGCUGAAAAGCAGACCCAGGCUUAUAUUGAUCAGUGAUAUAGGUGGCAUAACAGGAGGGUGACAAAAAGACAGUUAUUUCCAUAAAUUGUACUUCAUCAAUUGUAUAUCUGAGAGAGAGAGAAAGAGAGAGAAAUUGUUUUUAUUCAUAGUAUAAUAUAUAAUUGCUUCUAUUCAUAGAGAGAAAGACAGAGAGAUAACUGUUUCUAUUCAUAGUAUAAGCAUCUUAAUUUCAGGUGGUUUUUAGAUUUUUAUGUGAAAGUUAAAAAUAGUAAAUCCUAAGAGAGGAUAAUAUAGAGGACGUUUUCACCACAUGGGGUAUAUAAAGAUUAAUAAAACUGGACACAAAGUCUCUGAUUAUAAAAAAAAUUGACAAAUAUUUUGACUGUAAGAGAUUAUAUUAAUAAAUACACAAUACAAUUUUAAGAGAAAUGAAAUGAGAAAUGAAAAGAGCAGCAGUAGAGUGGGAUGUCAAAGUACAUAUGACUGACAAAAAAUUACAAAAUCAAGACUAAAAUGGCAUACCACUAGAGCAGCUAUAAAUACAAAGAGUAAAAAUGCUCUUCUGUUUGGAGGACGUGAAGCAUGUUCUUGGGCACUGAUUACGUGAGUAGGUAGCUUUUCCUGAUUAUAUCCUCUGCAGAGUUUUCAUAGUGUAUCAUGUCUAGAUCACAACUGGAAAGAUCUAUGGCAAAUUCAUCAUCUGUCAAUGAGCGCAACCAAUAUUUGUUACAAUUUUACCAUGUUUAAUUGUGAAAGAGUUCUUAGAGCAUCAAAACACAUAUCCAGAAAUACUAUCCUCAAGUACCAGGCAAUAUUUAUUUUUUUUCAGUUACUUUUCUGCCCUAUAUUUAUCACUAAGCUCAUAUGAACUUUUAAUUUUUUAAAAAAACCUUUAGGUGUCUGUUUUACUCAUUCCAGAGAGAAGGAACUUAUUGGCACAUGACUGAUUUAUUAAAUACACUCAAUAAAAGUUGGCAUUUUUACAGUCAGCAAGCUCAAUAAAGUUCACAAAUAAAUCUUCUAUAGUUCUCAUAUUUACAUAUUUCUCAUAUUACUCUUUACCUAGGUAUCUAUCAACUUUGAAAGAUCCAAAAAUAGAACAUGAGGGCCAUAAUUGUCUGGAAAUGAGGAGAGGGUAUAUUUCUUUGUGAGAAUUUUUUGUGUAAAUGAGUAAGUUAAGAUGAUAUUAUAAAACCAAUUAUUAUAAAAUUCCUGAGGAUAUCCUCUAUAGCAUGUACUUUGGCAUUGAUUAUCUAUAUGAGUAGGUAGCUUUUCCUGAUUACAUCCUUUAUAAAGUUUUCAUAGCAUAUCAUAGCUAUGAAAAUAUUUUUCAGAAAAAGAUAAACCACACAGGAAUAAAUGAUAAAGUGAAUGAUAACUUUUCAGUUAAAAAAAGAACUAAAUGUACAAUGAAAUUUGGGACUAAAUAAAUGGCACUUCUGCACAAUUCAGAUCUUUUUCCCCCUUAUGCUGAGCCUACUUUGUUGUUUUGCAUAACCUACAACAUGUAGACAUCUCAGUUAGAGACCUCUAUCCCAUACCCUUUUUCCCCAAAAGUUCUUUCCUUUCAUCAGUGAUGGCUGAGUCGAUUCUUAGACUAGUUCCAAUGUAUUCCCUUGAUGUAAUCAUCAGAUCUGUCUCCCCUCAGCACCUUGUUUGGGGAUGCUUCUCAUUCUCUAUGCCUAGGUACAAUUUCAAAUCCAGAGUUGGAGCUGUCAUCUUCAUAAAUUCUCCUUAGAUUAUAGGAGUUCACAAAAUCUUGUCAUUUCUGUGUACUCUUCUCGGUCUUAAGAAAUGUUUCUCCUGGAAUAACCUGUGGUCACCCUCUGAUAGGUAUGUUCUGUUAUUAUGUUUUUGUGUAAAUUUUGUCAAGCUAAUGUAACUGUGAUUUUAUUUCACAUGAUCUAUAGGGCCUUACACAAACCUGAACCUAAUAAAGACAUGUGGGACAUAAUCUCAAAAUGAUAUCACUGAAACUCAUUUCCAACCCAAUUAAACUGUUCUCCUAGGGUUGGUUGACAGUCCAGAAUUAUUAGGCUUCUCAGUGGAGCCAGAACAAUCUGUCCAGUGAUACUUGAUCCGAUCAAGUGUUUUCAUGGGUGGUUUGGAAACCAUGUCUUGCUUUGCAGAUGUUAUUUAUCACAAAGUUGCCCCUAGCCCUUUAAUGUUGAGGAUUUGAUAUUAGUGGAGUUGUGGAAGUGAAAUUAUUAGGGUGUCCUUAAAGUCCUUUUCCAUAAAUGAAUGAUUUAUUGGAGCAAUGAAAGAAAGGAAUAAGUUUGCCUGCUCAAUAUAGCCCGUCAUUUUUGAUGAAUGUGACUCACCUUUCUGUAAGAAGUUCAAUUUAGCACUGGUACCAAUUCUUGAAUUUUAUAGAGAAGGAAAUUGUAAAAUGUCUUAGAAAUGUGGCCACGGAGAGAACAAACUGAGGUUGAAUGAUGCAAAAUCAGAACUACACUGAAUGCAACGUAAUGCCAAUGCUGUUCAAUGCCAAGAGACUUACAGGAUAAAAUUUGGCUUUUUCCUUUUGAAAUAAUAUUAGCUUGCUAUUGAGUAAAAUCAGGUAGCAACACUUCAUAACUCCAUUACCUACCUGUUUUGUAUUCAUUAAAGUGUGGCUUUCUUGGCCUGACUGUCAGUGGUAUGCUGAGAUGGCUUGCCACAGCUCCAGAGUGCAUUGUAUAUAUUUCUUCUUGACUUCACGUUAAGUGACAUUAUGUUGGUAGCUUGGAAUUGGUCAUGAUGAAGCUAUAUAUACCAGGAAAACUGGCACAUGCUGCAAAUGAAGGCUCCUGCUCUUCCAGAGAUCUAACUGUUAAGUAUUUAUCAGCAUACUACUAACCUGUGUUCAAAGGUUGAACUGCAGAAGCCUCU
rnacentral:lncRNA from 1 species